rnacentral:piRNA from 1 species
ACGGUGCUGUAAGUGGAAUGCCACGGA